UACAGAGGGGGCAAGCGUUGUUCGGAAUUACUGGGCGUAAAGGGCGCGUAGGCGGCUUGCUAAGUCGGACGUGAAAUCCCUGGGCUCAACCCAGGAACUGCGUCCGAUACUGGUUGGCUUGAAUCCGGGAGAGGGAUGCGGAAUUCCAGGUGUAGCGGUGAAAUGCGUAGAUAUCGGGAGGAACACCCGUAGCGAAGGCGGUUCUCUGGGCCAAUACUGACGCUGAGGAGCGAAAGCGUGGGGAGCAAACAGG
rnacentral:rRNA from 1 species